GCGGGCUUGGCCGAUCGGUUAGGCGUCAGUCUUCCAAACUGUUCCAAGCGAGUUCAAUUCUCGCAGCCCGCUCCA
rnacentral:tRNA from 1 species